UGGGUGUUUAAAACAAUGUCAAAAUGUCUGA
rnacentral:piRNA from 1 species